rnacentral:rRNA from 1 species
UACGUAGGGGGCUAGCGUUGCUCGGAAUUACUGGGCGUAAAGGGCGCGUAGGCGGAUAUCUAAGUUGGGGGUGAAAUCCCGGGGCUCAACCUCGGAAUUGCCUUCAAAACUGGAUAUCUUGAGUUCGGGAGAGGUGAGUGGAACUCCGAGUGUAGAGGUGAAAUUCGUAGAUAUUCGGAAGAACACCGGUGGCGAAGGCGGCUCACUGGCCCGAUACUGACGCUGAGGUGCGAAAGCGUGGGGAGCAAACAGG